ACUGAUGGAAGGCCAUUUAGGCCAUUGUUUUGUACUACAAGAACAUGUACUAUUCUGAUUUCACUUAAGAAUUUGACUGUGACUCAGCUCACAUCGAACUGGUAUAUUUUAGUCUAGUAUGAUUGUUUAAUAAGAUCAUACUGUACAGUGAUUAGACUCGGCUUACCAUUCCAGUGAGAAGUUCAUACAGUAAAGCUCCCAGACUCCACCAGUCACACGCCUCUGUGAUUUUGGAUACGCCCCCAAUCUCUGUUUCCAAAUGAUUAGAUGGGUACAGUUUAGGGCUGGGAAAUGUGACCGUUAAACCAAUGCCAUGAUUCAUUAUGUCAUAAUACACUUCUGAGAUAUUGCAGGUAUUGCAAUAUCUUCUUAUAACAUUUUUGUUUGUUUGUUUAAUAACAAUUGCAACCUCUAAUUCAAAGUCACUGGUUUGAUGUCAGUGGGAUUUUUUUUAUUAUUAUUAUUAUUAUUAUAAAUACAGAAUUUUUUCCUGUUUCAUUCAAUCAUUCAGUAUGCUUUUCAUACCAGUCAGGGUCAUGAUGUACAGCUUACUUUUACAUGAAAUUGUUCUUAUGUGUCCUCACCUGGGGCACAGUACAUUUCCUCCAUAGCUUUAGGACUGAUUUCCGGCUGAACCUCUGUCCACUGUCCAAAGUAAGUCAGACACACAUUUCCUAUUCAGAAUACACUGCAUUAUUUGUUGCACAAACCGGUGAAAUAAGCUUUUUCAUUCAUGUCAGUAUUAAGCAAUUAAGAGCAUGGCAAUAAUAUAAAAUAAAUCCUUAUGCAGAUGUUGGUGUUACUGUAGAGUCACACACUCACCAUUGCUAUUGAGCAGGAUGUUCCUGGGGUUGAGAUCCUGGCACACGAUGCCUUGUUCAUGAAGAAUCUCGAGAGCCAACAGGAUCUGCGCUCCCCACAUUCGCACCUUUCCUUCAGGAAGACCCCAUCGACCAGACUGUUGCUUCACACUCUGGCUCCUCGUCCUAAACUGAGGCAAGUGACACCAGCCGUCGACUUCUAUAAGCUGCUCCUCCUGAGAAGAGUGAGAAGUGAAGAACGCAUCUUGUGUUUUAUCUGAGCACAGUGGGCUAAGGAGUUCCCAGGUCUCCUCUCCAGCCUCCACAGACUCUCUUUCCACGUCUUUACUUGUAUUGUUCACCUGAGCAGCUGUUGUCAUGAAGUCCAAGGCGAAAGGUCUCAGUAGUUUGCUUUCCACAGUAGAUUGUGUUCCAUUGCAGUACUCUGUGCCUGCUUGGGAAUUUCCUGAGCUUAAGCUUGCCAUAUACUGGGAGCUCUCAGUUUUUCCAUGAGUAAUGUCAUCUUGUUUUUGAUUCUGUGAAGAUAAAGGCAGGGUGUUGGGAACUAUACGAACUUUCUGUGGAAGGACGUUGACCGUGCUACACAGGGUUGGAUGUGUGGUGUCAAAUAAAGAGCUCAGUGUGAUCUGAGGUGCACUACUGAUUCCAAGAAUGUCUGUAUUUGACCUAGUUCCUGUUAAACCCAGUUCCUGAGCUGGUACAGCAGUCCAUACUUUAUCGAAAACUAAGCUCGAGUCGAUCCGCUCAAUAUGGACGUCGUUUCCUAAAAGAUCGGUCGUGACACUGAGCGGAUCUCGAGUAUCCACAAUCACACAGGGAUGAACAGGAAGUGGAAAACUGUCCUGAGAUAUAAGACAAUCUUGCUGACCACCAGGAUUAGCACUGGAAAAAGAAUCGGUCCUUAUUGCAUAAAGGUUAGAGGACUGCUUUUGCUGGAAUUCAGCCUUUUCCGACCGGGAAUUCUGCAGG